rnacentral:lncRNA from 1 species
UUCUGUCAUUGAAAAAAAUGUUUAAAUAUUUAAACAUUCCAAGAUGUCCCCUCUAGUUCCUCUGACAAAGGCAAGCAAAAGGAAUAGUACAAAACAGACUGGGCUGACAUCUGAGCUCCAUAUCUAACAUUGUCUUAGUAACACCCACAUUCCCAGUCUACAUAAUAUGACUUUUGGAGAGCUGCUCUUCUGCAAUGCCCAAAAUAUUCCAUCUGCCUAUGCCUGUUCCUCCUGCUCCAUAUUCAGAGAGCACCCUCACUUUACAGGUUGUCUUUUCUCCAUUCCUACCAUCCCUAUCAAGAGGCAAAACUUUAUUACAGCUUCAAAUCCAUCCAAAUAUUUAGGUACAGUCAGCCAAAACAAGGGAACCUUCUCACCUGUAGCCCAGGUUUGGGCCUGUUCUGCAUGAGUUAGAGUGUGAAGGUAAGGUGAAAAGAGGUGAGGUGAAAGAGAAUGAGAUGUUGAGGGUCUUUUUCUGGUCUUAGUAAGAAAGGUCUGACAAAAAAAGGCUUAAUAAAAGAGCUGCUUCAACAAGAUAGAAGCAAGGGAGGAAUAUAGGUAGCAAGUAAAUCUUAUGUCACUUCAGAUGCUGAGAACCCCAUGGCUGUACAGCAUUGGGUAGUCCCUGGAUGCUCAGGUUAGCUGUACUGUGGAUCACUAUUUCCUUGAUGCACAAUGGUCUCCUGAGCACAGUCAUGGAAGGACCCCUCCUGAAAGUUUUCUUACCAUCAUGCUGCUGCUUCCAUUUUGCUAAAGCUGGAAGCGAUUACAUCCUUGGUCUCCAUAUAAAAGAAACCAGGAGAAGAAGGGAAGAGACCACUAUGGAUGAGUCAAGACCUGCUAGUCAAACUGAAGGACAAGAAAGAAAUGCACAGGCAGUGGAAGCAGAGGUAUGAUGAUGGUGCUUUAUCUUCACAAUUUGCUUUGUCAUGAGUUUAAUGUACAUGUAAAUUAAUGCAGAUGAAAAGUCAUUUCCUUUGGCUAAUGCCAGAUGAAAGAACACUUCCCAUCAGAAUAUUGUUGCAGUUAACUUAAGAAAUGGCAGUAAUUAUGAAUAGUUUUUAUGCCAGAGGGAAGAACAGUGCAUUUAAGAUUCCUCUUAUAUUGUGAACUUUCAGCCUCUUACAGAGGAGCUGCGAGGAGGCCAAAGUGUAACACUUCAGGUUGGUUAUGAGGUGUAAUCACUCCUAGGGCUGAAACACCCCAAUGUGGGAUGAAGACCAAAGGCCCAGGCAAGCACUAAGUCUUACUAUCUACAGCCAGUUUUGUGUACCCACCGUGUUAUCUUUGCAGGUGGAGAAAUAUACAACUGACAUGGAGAAAAUAUGAGGUGGCUGGAGGACAUGGUCUGGUGGAGACAGAAUGGUCCUCUUUUUGUCUCUGAAGAGCCAAACAGAACUAAAAGAAAUUGUAUGACCAGAACGUUAAAGGAUGCUAUGGAAAAAAAUAAACUUUUGCCUCAUUCAAUGUUAUUUAAAUAU